rnacentral:rRNA from 1 species
UACGUAGGUGACAAGCGUUGUCCGGAUUUACUGGGCGUAAAGAGCGCGCAGGCGGUCGAUCAAGUCGAGUGUGAAAGCCCCCGGCUCAACUGGGGAGGGUCAUUCGAUACUGAUCGACUCGAAGGCAGGAGAGGGUAGUGGAAUUCCCGGUGUAGUGGUGAAAUGCGUAGAUAUCGGGAGGAACACCCGUGGCGAAGGCGGCUCUCUGGGACGGUACUGACGCUGAGACGCGAAAGCGUGGGGAGCGAACAGG